AUUGAACGCUGGCGGCAGGCUUAACACAUGCAAGUCGAGCGGAGAUGAGGUGCUUGCACCUUAUCUUAGCGGCGGACGGGUGAGUAAUGCUUAGGAAUCUGCCUAUUAGUGGGGGACAACAUUCCGAAAGGAAUGCUAAUACCGCAUACGCCCUACGGGGGAAAGCAGGGGAUCUUCGGACCUUGCGCUAAUAGAUGAGCCUAAGUCGGAUUAGCUAGUUGGUGGGGUAAAGGCCUACCAAGGCGACGAUCUGUAGCGGGUCUGAGAGGAUGAUCCGCCAAACUGGGACUGAGACACGGCCCAGACUCCUACGGGAGGCAGCAGUGGGGAAUAUUGGACAAUGGGCGGAAGCCUGAUCCAGCCAUGCCGCGUGUGUGAAGAAGGCCUUUUGGUUGUAAACCGCUUUUGUCAGGGAAGAAAUCUUCUGGACUAAUACUCUGGGAGGAUGACGGUACCUGAAGAAUAAGCACCGGCUAACUACGUGCCAGCCGCCGCCGUAAAAC
rnacentral:rRNA from 1 species